CUGCCGAUGGGCUCGGCCCGGCAGUGGGGCUGUCUGAGGCCCGGCGGGCAUUGGCUCUGCCAGGCACAGGGAGGUUUCUAGAAGCUUCUCGCAGAAACUACAACCAGACUCCCCCUGCUACCUGAACCUGCCCCUGCGAACCCAGAAAGUGUACUGUUAAAUCUACCUCAUAAGCUGGCACGACUCUUGCUGACUUGGAAUGUUCAGCAUUUUUUUCUUAGCUGAAUCCAGUUCAUUGCUCUUAAUAAAGUUGCGAGCACUUAGCGGGAGAAGCAUUACGCUAAAUACAGGAACUGUGGAGAGCCAUUGUCGAAUACUUGCUACUGAUUUAUGCUUUUGAAGUGCACAAAGCCCUCUACAGUGUCAAUAUGCAUCAGACUGUGCUGUUGUGGGGAGUCCUCUUCUGCAGUUCUUCAGUACCAAUGAAACUCCUGCAAACGUUCCUUCUCUAAGAGAGCAUAUCAACAAACAGGAGGGAGGCAAAAGCUAGAGUGUAACUGGUACAAUUAUAGCAGAAGGAGAUCUGGAUGCUUAUUCAGCAAGUGCAGCACAGACAAAAAGAAGAGGUGUUGCACACUUGGAGAAACUUUACUUUCUUUUAAUGGAUGGUUCCAGAAAGCAACUCUAGGCUGGGGAAAAUUCAACUUGAUGAUUCAAAAUUAUUUGCGUCUAGGUGAGUCAGAGCAGCCAAUGCACGAGAGACAGAAUGUACCUGGCUAGAUCUUUCUGUGAAACAAAAUCAACCAGAUAGCAACUUUAUAACACAGUUUUUUUGCAUAUUAGAAACUGAGCAUUCUUUAUUGCACCGCAUUUGUCGCUCUGGGGAUCUUCCACUAUUGGAAUGACCCAGCAUCAGGUGAAUGGAGUUUUUAUCAUGUACACUGAUUUCAUAUUCAUUAGUCAUAUCCUCUUACUUGAUGUAUAUGUAUUAGUUUAUUUUACAUAGUCACACCCUUUGUCAGAAGUCCUUGUGUGGCCUUUUGGGACCUUCUUUUGUGGUCUCCUGUGUCUGGUCAUAAUAUUUGACGUGGCCAUUCAUUAACCCCAUCUCUUGAGUAAGAUCAAUACUGUUUUGCAUGACUCCUGCUUUGUCAGCCUUAAAGAGCUGUGCUGGCAUCUUGUUUGCUUAACUUACAUCCUUUAUCUAUUUUUCCAAGCCUGUUUUACUGCCCUUACCAACUGGAGCAUUUUCAGUCUCAGUCCUAAAAAAUAUCUAAAGACCAGCCUGUACUUAUUCUUGAUUAAUUAACUCUAUUAAUAUAUUUAGUAUAUUUUAUCUUAUAAAAUAGACAUGUCAGUCUUCAUGAUGAAGGAAGAAAAAUUCUUGGAAGAAAUACAAAAAAUGAAAUGUCAUUAUUUCUCCCCACAGGGAAGAAGGGUUUGCCAGGGAUUUGAGCCAUUAAAAGGAAAGUAUUAGCUGUGGGAGAAGAAUCCAGAGGGCAGACUGCCCUGCUUGUGAGGCUAACCUUUCCUAUGGAAGAUAUGGGCUAUGUUUUACUGGUUUGGCCUGAUAAAUUAUCUACUCUUUUGCACACGAUUUUUAUACAGUUUCAGCAGAUAGUGUGAGGGGCAAAAUAAUGCCUUGAAUAUGCUACUGUGAGAAGCAAGAUACUUGCUGCAACAUUUGGAGUGCUUUAAUAUUCUUCUCUUCAAUUUUAAACAGUAAAAAAAAAAUGUAUUCAAUUUUUUGUCUGCAUGCUUUAACUGCUGAGCUACUGCAUGAGAGAGAGGGGAGUUUCUUGUCAUUGGCAAAUUUAGUAUUUUUCUUCUGUUUUGAUUGAUUUCUGCAAGUGCCUUUUGCAGCCUGUGUGACACCGAGGCUGUGGCAAAUAGGAUUCCAACUGACAAUUUAGAAAAGGGAGGAUUUCCUCUAGCAUUUCAGUAGAAUGUAGAUACAUUAGCACUGUCACUGCCUUUUUCCCUCACCUAAAAAUUCCCCACAGAAAACCUACCCUGGUUAGUAAAGAGAGCCUAUGGACAGCUUCUCCUCUGAGAACCUGGCACAAUCUUCAGAGGAAAUAUGCUCUUCAGAGCAUGUUUUCAAUUGUGUGUAAAUAAAGUCUUGUAUAGUAGGUAGGUAUCUGUGAGA
rnacentral:lncRNA from 1 species